GUCCCUAUCGUCUAGAGGCCUAGGACAUCGCCCUUUCACGGCGGUAACCGGGGUUCGAAUCCCCGUAGGGGCGCCA
rnacentral:tRNA from 1 species